rnacentral:lncRNA from 1 species
AUCAACCCUGAAAUCUUUGAUGAAAAAUAAAUUUUCAGAAGUAUUUAAAGAUGACAGGUUACAUAGAUGAAGACAACUAGAGUCCAGGUUCACUUGAAAGAGGGUGCAAGUCCGUGCUACACUCUGUACCACUUGCAUUGCGUUAGAAUGCCAAUGAAGAGCUUCUGGGCAUGGUCGCUAUAGGAACAGCAAGUCGUUUGGAAUCACCUGAAUGGGUGUCUCCUAUUUUGUCAAUACUGAAGGUAGACGGAAAGGUCAGGAUUUGCGCUGACUUCACUCAUACUAUUUCUUCCGUUAUAAAUACUCAACUCUAUCCGCUACUACACUAUGUGGAGGUCUUUGCAGAUCUUGCAGGAGCAAAGUUCUUCACAAAGUUGGAUUUUGCGAGGUGCUACGAGCAAUAUGCUCUUGAUGAAGAGUUUAAGGAGUUUCUCGUUAUCAAUACGUCGUUGGUCCACUUCAAGUAUAAUGUACUGUCCUGUGGAUAGGCAUCUGCUCCUGCAAUCGUGCAAGCACCACAGGUGAAGUUAUUUCAAGGGAUCAAAUGUGUCAAGCUCUAUAUUGGUGAUGUAUUGGACUUCUUGAGGAGUAAGGAAGAGCACAUUAUAACUUUGGAGGAAGUAUUUUCGUCGGAUUCAAGAUGUUAGGGCAAGGUCCAAGGCAAGUAAAUAUAUCAUUAGCUCAAAGGAAAAAAUAUCUUAUUAUUAAUUGGCUCUGGAUCAAAAUGGAUUGAAGCUGAAGUAAUGAAGGACACGUUGACCACAGCAACAUUGAGACCGAUAUUUCAUUGGUUUUCUCGCUUUGGAUUUCUUUUGGAAGUCCACGCUGAUAAUUGUCCUCCACUUGCAAUAAAUGGUUUGGCUGAGAGAGCCGUAGGUAUCGUCAAGAA